rnacentral:sRNA from 1 species
UUUGGAUAAAUCCCAAAGUGAUCUAUUUAUAGUGAAAUGUUGAAACCCUAGAUUCACUAGAAGACAAGAGACUUGAGGCGGUUUGGGCGAAUACUCGAUCUUGGGGAUCGAGUAAAGAGGGUGCUGUAAAGUCUGCGCUUUGUGUCUAUGCUCCGAGUGAUCAAUUGGUCGAGUAGAUGCUUCUUCCUCUCCUAUCCGUACGCUCAGAUGUCUGGUUGAGUGGGGAAUGAGGAGGAUCCGAAGACGCUUUGAUAGCUCAACAAGUCUUGUAGAGUUAGUCACCCUUGGUCGAGUAAAUGGGUCUAGUAGAGGAUCGAGUAGGAGGGGCGAGUAGAUCAAUCUGCUGCUUCAUCUAAGGCUGCCUUGAUCGAGUAAGAGGGUCGAGUAAACCGCAGCCUCCUCUGUAGCUGCCUGGAUCGAGUAAGGAGGUCGAGUGAAAUGAUGCCUCUUCUGUAGCUGCCUGGAUCGAGUGAAUGGACCAAGUAGAGUCCUUUUUAGCUCCUUCUGCACCUGAAAACACACCAAAACAUGCAAUGCGUAUGCAAGAUGAUCCUACAUGCCUAAGUAUGCAAAAUAAGCUAAAAUGGUGCAAAAUGAUAUGAUACAAUGAGCAAAUGCACA